ensembl:snoRNA
UGGAUCGAUGCUGACUACUGGUGGCGUACGAGUUGCAUACGAUGACUACGUAUCUGGACCUCUGAGGUCCAA